rnacentral:lncRNA from 1 species
AACCUUUUCUCCCUGGUGGAGGAACCACUUGCAUGAGAAUAAGAGGUUGUUCCCCAGGCCAUCAGACUCCAAACAGUUAUGCAACUGGAGCCUCCUGAGGAUGACCCCUUCUGCCUGGGACCCUUAGAUCAGCCUCUAGAGAAGCUUUGACUGCUGUUUCCCCAAAACAGCACCCCCUGCCAUCAGGAAGCAAGCUGAUCAAGGAGAGAAGAUAAGGCAUGGAUAUUCAGUUUAAAAUGGUAGAGAACCAUAAUAAUACCUACCUUGAAGUGAUGAUAUAAACUACAUGACACAGAGUACUUGCUUCACACAGUGUUGGAACACACAGAGCUGCCACCUGGAAAUCCCUGCUCAUCUAAGGGUUGCAUCUAGACUCUGUAAUGUAGAACAGGAGUCAGAAAUGGCUUUCACAUGAAAAAAUCAACAACAACAAAGCCUCACAAAAAACAAACAAAAAAGAAAUGGCUUUCGCUAAGCUGAAAUCAAGGUAUCAGUAGUGUAUUUUGAGAAUUGCAAUGAGAAGAAAAGAUGAAAAAUGCAAUUUUAAGAAAGUUUCUACAAACUCGAGUUAAUGCAUAUAGGACUGGUUUUGAUCUGAGGAGAUCUGCUUCAAUUCUUAGUGAAGGUCAAAAUUGCUACUGGUUGUCUGCUAGUCCAUUGUCUUAAACACUGAGGGAAGAGUUUCCCAUGCUUACACAGAUAAGUCAGCUUUGCAAAAUAAAUCAUACUAUCAGCUAAAUAAGCCAAUUAAAGCAGGAAUAAUGUGAUUAAAAGCAAAUCACCCAAACACUUAAAAUAUCUUAAAAAUCCAAUAUUUAUUCUCCAAUAAGGGAAAGUAUUCAGACUUAAUGCAUAGAAAUGGAGAUGUGCUAGCUAUGCAG